rnacentral:lncRNA from 1 species
AUGGUUAUAAUGAUGAUGUUAAUAAUAAUAAAUAUCAUGCAGCUUUCUCUGACUUCGGAAAUGAGUAAUUGUCCUUCUUCCACAUUUCCAUUAUAUUUUACAAACAACUGUGCUGUUGCACUUAAUUCUUUAUAUUAUAAUCAAGUGUGUUUUAUUUCCCACCUAGGUUGUGACAUUUCUGGAGACAUUUUCUUUCUUUCUUUCUGGAGAUAUAUUUUUGACUCAGAGUCUGAAGAAAUUGUGAUUAAUGUGUACUUAAACAAUCAGUCAAACAAUCAAUUAACCUCGUUUAAUAGACCAAAAAAAUGGAAGCUUUGGAUGGCCUGCUCCAAUGCUAACUUUCCAAGACUUUCUUUUCUGGAGUACCCAACAGCAACGGACUAAAAUGGAUAGAUAUCCAUUCCAGAUUUUGGAGGAAGCGGUUUGACUGAUUCAGCAGAACCUACUACAGGCUCUCUCUGGCCAGCUGAUCAUCCACGACCAUAUAAGAAGGGCUCUCAGAAAGUUGUAAAAGAGUGGAUUAAAGCAAAGGUUGAGCAUGACAGGCAAAUUGAAAACGAAUGCCCUAAAUCAGUCUAAAAACCAUAACAAAUAUAUCAAAAAUAUAUAGUCUUUAUUGUAGGAGACUACCCUAGAGCUUUACACAUCUUUCUCAUUUAAUUUUCUCAGCACUGCUGUGGGGGAAUGAUAGUUGUUAUCUUUGUCCCAGAUGAUGAAAGUGAAGCGUUAAAAUACAGAGCGAUGUUUCCUAGACCACACAGCCAGGAAGUGGCAUAGCUGGGACUCUAAUACCAUCGGUUUAGCUUCAGAGUCUGUGCUUUGAACAGCUCUGCUAGUCCGCCUGUCCAUGAAAUUGCUUUUACCUGUAAACAGUUUGAUGUUAGAGCUCUGGGCACUGUAAUGAUAAGCAGCAUCUCUCGUAGCUCCUGGACAGAAUUGUGGUUUCCUGAAUCCAGAUCCCCAACCAACUCCAACUCCAAGCAGCUAGUUGGAAUCAAGACAGACCCAUUUGUUUCAUGUGUUUUCAGUGGAAGGGAGAUACAGCCGAUGUAUCACCAACAGUUAGGUACAAAAAUGUUGAAGAAAUGUGCUCUUUUGGUCAUUCAUUCACCAACAAAUUUACCUCACAGAAAGCUAAUUUCUCUAUGAAUUAUCUAUGAGGCAAGCCACAGUUUUCCUACAAAGCUAUAACGGAUCUCACUGAUUUCCACUGUGUUAAUAUGAAGAGGUAAAAAAGAAUAGUACCUAUCAAUCUUAUCAAAAUUAUGAGUCAGUUACCCAACAGUAGCAUGAAAAUGUUUGCAGAGGUAUAACACAGUUGGGCAUAACUUGUCUGGCCAGUGUUCACAUACAUUGAGACUAAAUGUCCUUACGUGAAGCACACAGUUUGAUUACCUCCUUUCUUUCACAAUUUAUUACUGAAUGCUACUUAAAAUACUCCUUUUAAAUAAGAAAAGCUCUCUAGCAGAUAACAAGCAUCAAAUCAAUUUUAUUGUACAUUUAAAAUAUAAGUUUUAUGUCUCAGGUAAUUAAUUUGAUAGAAUAUUAGUAUAAUAAGUCCACUGUGUAAAACAAAGGGAAUGUUUAUACUAAUGAUUUCUCCAUAAGCCAUGUGUAACAAAAUAUUUUUAAAAGACACAGUUAAAAAUGUGUCUUAGCAAUCUUUGAGAGGCAUAUUAUUCUCAUCGAACAGAUGUGCCUGUGACAGUAAAAGAAAAAUAAACUUCCAAAUAUGCAUGGGCA